rnacentral:lncRNA from 1 species
UUCGUUAUGGAAUGGAGUGGUUGGUGUAUUGCAUAGUUUUAGUCGUUGGAUUUCAUCCAAAAGUCACCAAAUGACUCUUCCCAUCAUAUUAUGAUGUUCUCCAAGUUUUGGACACAAUCCGAUAUCGACUGGUCCACGAAAUUGGACAAUUCUGGUUCGUACGAAGUUCGUUAUGAAAUAGGGUGGUUGGUGUAUUGCGUAGUUGUAGAGAUUGGAUUUCACUCAAAACCCACCAAAUGACUCUUCCCACCAUAUUAUGAUGUUCCCCUAGUUUUGGACUCAAUCCGAUAUCGAUUGAUCGAUGAAAUUGGACAAUUUACGUUCAUAUGAAGUUCGUUCCGAAUUGGAGUGGUUGGUGUAUUG